GUAUAAAUACCAAACCCUAUCAGAAAUCCACCCUUUAGAGGUCAGAUUUUGACGUCUUUCAAUUUUUUUUUUCUCUCAUUCUAAAGAUGAAAAAGACGCCAAAGAGAGAAGAUGAACUGAUCUCAAUCGCUGACCUCGAAGUGACCUCAACCUGACUUGGGGGAAAUUAUCACUUGGUUUUGGCUAAUUUGAUCAGGUAAACAGAGCUCAACCUGGCUCUCAUGAGAAGCUCAAAAGCAGCGACUUAAUGAAACUGCUCAAAGGAAACAUGCAUGUGGACUACAGCAUAACCAAAAUAGGGGAGCUUCUAUUUGGAGAAGAGCUCAAAAGUAUUGAUGAAUGUGAGGCCUUAGGGACAACAUCUAGUGGAUGACUGGGAGUGCUUCAAGAUGUUUAGUCGAUGUGGGAAGCUAUCGACAUAUGCAGAAUGAAAUACACACAAGCUUUUGCCAACAUCUGCAAUGUCGGGUCAGCCUAGAGAAAAUGGUUGCAGUGUCUAAUCAAGCUUGUUCUAAGAAACCCCAUGUCUAAUCUGAUUGAAAAUGGAUGUACUAAAUAAAGUCAUGCAUGUAUGCUGGUUACU